rnacentral:lncRNA from 1 species
UGCUGGUCCUACCUUUGACCUGCGUAACUCCUCCGGUCGUUUCCCCACUGGUCAUCACCGCCCUUGCCUGACUCCCGGGAAACCUGUAGCAACCCUGGUAGCCUCACGCGCAAUGACAAUCCUCUCCGGUUGCCAGUGGAGUUGAGCACACGGUGGUCCUUGGGCAACAUUUGGUGAGGGGAUGGACAGUGUUUGAGGUCAGGUUGAGACCCAGGAGAAGCAUUCAGGAGAGGAGGCCACAGAGUUUUCUACCUGUGCCAAAGACUGGGCCCUCUGGUGGCAAGGACUACACAUGGCUUGGAGGAAAUGUCCAGGACCCUUCAAGUCCUGCCUGUGCCUAGAAAGUGGGUAGGAGAAAGGGAGGAGAGAGUAGUGUAGGCAAGGUUCCCAAAGACUUCCUUAGGGCAAGGAAAGGUAGGGAGAGAUACCGGGAGGCUGAUGAUGUUGCCAACUAGUUUUCAUCAAGAUUUUCUGCCAGCCUGGAGGCCAGGAUCUGUCAGGGUCACUGACUCUGCCUUCCUGCCCAGGACCUGCACUGGGCCCCGCUAUCAGUGCGGGGGGGGGGGUGCAGAGUCUUCACAGGAAUGGGGGAUGAGACCUUGGCAUGUAGUACAUUGGGGAUAGGAGAGCCCUGCCGUGACAGACUUACAGGGAGUCUCCUGCUUUAGUGUAGGGAGCAAGGUGACAUGCAGGUGGGCUACCUCCUGUCAUCACUACUGCCCUGGGGCAUCUGACAGAUACCUAAGGGUAGUCAGGAACAGGCUUCCUCUCCAGUCCCUAUGUACGCAGAGCCCCUCCUCCCCAGAACCUCUUGCCCUAACCUAAGCUUACUCCAUCUCUCUUCCCCACUAAUGACCCAGACUCUAACAAUAAUACAGUAAGCCAGACGUAAACUGUGCCUGCAGUCUCAUUAAAAUGCUUUAUUUUUCGUCAAAA